ensembl:lncRNA
GUGUAAAGACUGCUGUUGCUAAGUCGCUUCAGUCGUGUCCAACUCUGGGCAACACAAUAGACGGCAGCCCACGAGGCUCCCCAGUCCCUGGGAUUCUCCAGGCAAGAACACUGGAGUGGGUUGCCAUUUCCUUCUCCAAUGCAUGAAAGUGAAAAGUGAAAGGGAAGUCGCUCAGUCGUGUCCAACUCUUCGCGACCCCAUGGACUGCAGCCCACCAGGCUCCUCCAUCCAUGGGAUUUUCCAGAGCACAGGCUCCAGAGCACAGGUCCAGUAGUUGCUCCACAGCAUGUGAGAUCUUCCCCGACCAGGUAUUGAACCUGCACCCCCUGUACCAGCAGGUGGACUCCCAACCACUGGGCCAUCAGGGAAGUCCCAGACAUUGUUCCUUAUUUGGUGCUGCUUGAAAUCUAUUGUCUGCUGAGAAUGCGGAAAACCAAGCCUUGAGUGUUGGUAAAUUUCUGAGUGAGGAAAUUCUCUUGUCUAUGAGAACUAUGACCUUCCAGCUUAGAUGUAUUGAUAUUUCUCACAUACUUUGGCAUCAUGUCUCAGACUCCUGUGGCCUGCUACCAUAUUAUCUAAUGUGCUGAUUCCUAGACAUUCUCAUUGAAGAUCACAAUCUGUAUGAUUUCAGUACCUUUAGACCAUGAAACUUUUGCACCUGGUUUUAUGUCCCUGGAUAUGUUCCAGUGUCUCCUGGUUUAUAGUCUAUGGGAACUUGAAUAAAAUUUGUAUCCUGCUAUUGUGUGAAAACUGCAUAAAUCUUAAUUAUGUUGAAUUGGUUCAGCGUGCUUUUCAAGUCUACUGUAUCAUCCUACAUUUCUGUCUAUUCAUUCUAUUAAUUUUUGAGAGCUCGAUAUUGAAACUCCAACAAAAAAAUCUUAAUUUAUCUAUUUAAAAUUUAUUGUAAAAUAUAGUAGAACUAUAUGUGACUUUGUUCUGUAUUUUCCAAGUCUCCUGUAAAUGUGUUAUCAUACUUUCAUAAUUUAAAAAAUAAAAAUUAAAGACAUAUACAUUUU